rnacentral:rRNA from 1 species
CAGUAGCCGCGGGAAUACGAACCGUGCGAACGUUAUUCGGAAUCACUGGGCUUAAAGCGCGUGUAGGCGGGCCGCCACGUCGGCUGCUGAAAUCCCCCGGCUCAACCGGGGAAGUGGCACCGAUACGAGCGGCCUCGAGGGGGGUAGGGGGGACUGGAACUUCCGGUGGAGCGGUGGAAUGCGUUGAGAUCGGAAGGAACGCCCGUGGCGAAAGCGAGUCCCUGGACCCUUUCUGACGCUGAGACGCGAAAGCCAGGGGAGCGAACGGGAUUAGAUACCCCUGUAGUCCCUGUCUCUUAUA